GCGGGAGUUCACACAGGGAGAACUUGGAUUGCAUUAGUUAGUUCACACAGGGAGAACUUGGAUUGCAUUAGUUUUGAAACUGGGUUGCCUGCUACAGCGCUAAACCAAUACUGAAUGGUAAGUACAGCUUCUUCAUUGCAAUAGGCCAAUCGAGAUCAUCUAAGAAAUGUAGGUGUGCACGCAGUAAAUUGUCAGGUGUCAGUAGUGGGUGUGUGUUUGCGUGUGUGUGUGUGUGCGGGCGUGUGUGUGUGUGCAUGUCUUCAUCACCAGUUGAGAAAUGUAACUGUCCAUUCAUUGGUGUGUUUCAUGGAACUGUCUGUUUAUCUGUUUGUUGACAAAAUGCCAAUCUCUUGUACUUGAGAAAUUACUGAGAAUAGACAACACAUUCUUAGCCCAGCCCUCACAGUUUGCAAUAAAAAGGCCUAGUCUGACACAUUGAUCCCCACCACACUGAAGGCAGAGAUUGUUAAAUCAUUGGUGAGAUCUUAAUCGUUGUAUUCUAACCCGUGAAACAUCUUUGAUCUUGCAGCUUAAAUCAAUUAUUUGCUUUUGAUAAUUUCUUCAGUAAAAUUGAGACUUGAAAAAGAACCUCCACUCAUCAAUCAUGUCAUCUGAUACAGCUGUAGUUCCAUACAACCAUCAAAUGGACAGCCCAGAUUUCAUUAGAGACCUUCUGCCUGCUGCAGAGAAGACAGCCCUGCUGUACAACAUGUCCUACCUGUGCCUGGCCAAAUUCCCCUCUCUGGAGAGAAUCAUCAGAGCCAAUGCUGUUGAGGCCCAAAUGCUGUUCUCCUCUUCUGAGGCUCUGCUGCUGCUGGUAUUUCAAUCUUACUGUUUCUAUCCUUGUAAACUCUGUUAAUUUAUCAUUAGAUAACCUAUUUUAGACGAUACUGGGGUGUUUCUAUCCUUGUAAACUCUGUUAAUUUAUCAUUAGAUAAC
rnacentral:lncRNA from 13 species